CUGGUCAUGUCUGGUACAAUGAAGAUACAUGACUGAGUACCAUCAAAUUUGCUGAUGCAAAAUAGAGGAACUUGAAAGUUAUCGACAGAAUGCCAUCAAAGACUUCAGUUGACUGGAAAGUUUUAGCCCCCUUCCAGUUGUCUUUUAAUGGAGUUAAAUGUUGCAAAUUGGUGCAUCUCGUGAUAUGUAAGCAUAUGUUUAACAUAUUUAUGUAGUUUAUAAAGGAGUAUGUUUGGGCAUUUGCUACCUCAUUGGGUUAAAUGUGAGCAAAUAUAUGCCAUGAUAUCAAUUUUCUUGCAUGGUGUGGGCAAUAUAUGAUCUGGGCAUGGUUUUCACAUUUCAGUCCUGUCGAUCUUCAGUUCAAUCCCCCUUCCAGUUGUCUUGUAAUGGAGUUAAAUGUUGCAAAUUGGCGCAUCUCGUGAUAUGUAAGCAUAAGUUUAACAUAUUUAUGUAGUUUAUACAUGAGUAUGUUUGGGCAUUUGCUACCGCAUUGGGUUAAAUGUGAGCGAAUAUAUGCCAUGAUAUCAAUUUUCUUGCAUGGUGUGGGCAAUAUAUGAUCUGGGCAUGGUUUUCACAUUUC
rnacentral:lncRNA from 1 species